rnacentral:rRNA from 1 species
UCGCAGGCUUAACACAUGCAAGUCGAGCGGGGAAGGGUAGCUUGCUACCUGACCUAGCGGCGGACGGGUGAGUAAUGCUUAGGAAUCUGCCUAUUAGAGGGGGACAACAUUCCGAAAGGAAUGCUAAUACCGCAUACGCCCUACGGGGGAAAGCAGGGGAUCUUCGGACCUUGCGCUAAUAGAUGAGCCUAAGUCAGAUUAGCUAGUUGGUGGGGUAAAGGCCUACCAAGGCGACGAUCUGUAGCGGGUCUGAGAGGAUGAUCCGCCACACUGGGACUGAGACACGGCCCAGACUCCUACGGGAGGCAGCAGUGGGGAAUAUUGGACAAUGGGCGAAAGCCUGAUCCAGCCAUGCCGCGUGUGUGAAGAAGGCCUUUUGGUUGUAAAGCACUUUAAGCGAGGAGGAGGCUACUUAGAUUAAUACUCUAGGAUAGUGGACGUUACUCGCAGAAUAAGCACCGGCUAACUCUGUGCCAGCAGCCGCGGUAAUACAGAGGGUGCGAGCGUUAAUCGGAUUUACUGGGCGUAAAGCGUGCGUAGGCGGCUUCUUAAGUCGGAUGUGAAAUCCCUGAGCUUAACUUAGGAAUUGCAUUCGAUACUGGGAAGCUAGAGUAUGGGAGAGGAUGGUAGAAUUCCAGGUGUAGCGGUGAAAUGCGUAGAGACCUGGAGGAAUACCGAUGGCGAAGGCAGCCAUCUGGCCUAAUACUGACGCUGAGGUACGAAAGCAUGGGGAGCAAACAGGAUUAGAUACCCUGGUAGUCCAUGCCGUAAACGAU